GUGCUCACUUCAGCAGCACAUAUACCAAAAUUGGAAUAAUACAGAGAUUAGCAUGGCCUUUGUGCAAGGAUGCCAUGCAAAUUUGUGAAGCACUCUCUAUAUUU
rnacentral:snRNA from 1 species